AGGUGGAUCAACCAAUAUCCACACAUUGUUGUUCUUCAUGGACUCCAUUUUGGAUUUCAUGGCUUCAAACCAUUUCUCAAAGUCAGAUCUCUGCAUUGCAUCCAUAUAGGUGACUAGAUCCUCAUUGUUCUCAUCGAGCUCAAUAGGAUCUCCAUCUUGGACCAAAAAAUCUAGGUAUCUGUCUGGCUGAUGUGGUACUCCAUC
rnacentral:lncRNA from 1 species